AUUGAACGCUGGCGGCAGGCCUAACACAUGCAAGUCGAGCGCGCGGAGGACGGGUGAGUAAUGUAUGGGGACUGCCCGAUAGAGGGGGAUAACUACUGGAAACGGUGGCUAAUACCGCAUCCUGUCGGAGAAACCAUAUGGGAUUAGCGAGUAGGUAAGGUAAUGGCUUACCUAGGCGACGAUCCCUAGCUGGUCUGAGAGGAUGAUCAGCCACACUGUGACUGAGACACGGCCCAGACUCCUACGGAGGCAGCAGUGGGUAAUAUUGCACAAUGGGCGCAAUCCUGAUUCAGCCAUGCCGCGUGUAUGAAGAAGCCCCUAGGGUUGUAAAGUACUUUCAGUCGGGAGGCGUUACCGACAGAAGAAGCACCGGCUAACUCCGUGCCAGCCGCCGCGGUAAUUC
rnacentral:rRNA from 1 species